UACGGAGGGGGCUAGCGUUGUUCGGAAUUAUUGGGCGUAAAGCGCGUGUAGGCGGCUUUGCAAGUCGGGUGUGAAAGCCCUCAGCUCAACUGAGGAAGUGCGCCCGAAACUGCAGAGCUUGAGUGCCGGAGAGGGUGGCGGAAUUCCCCAAGUAGAGGUGAAAUUCGUAGAUAUGGGGAGGAACACCGGUGGCGAAGGCGGCAUCCUGGACCAUUACUGACACUGAAAAGCGAAAGCCAGGGGAGCAAACGGG
rnacentral:rRNA from 1 species